UACAGAUCGUGAGUGAGAAAAGGAGAAUAAAAAGAAACAGACGAUACACGCGUAUACGGCGGAGAUCGCCAGCCGUACUUCAGCAGAAAGAGAAUGUUAAAGACCGAGUGCGGAAU